GUAGCGCCCGGCCCCAAAGCCGGGCGAGGAUUGAAAC
rfam:Proteobacteria bacterium ST_bin16 1244, whole genome shotgun sequence.